AGCAGCCGCGGUAAUUCCAGCUCCAAUAGCGUAUAUUAAAGUUGUUGCAGUUAAAAAGCUCGUAGUUGAAUUUCGGGGUCAAUAAGUUGGUCGUGCCAAUGGUAUGCACUGGCUUUAUUGAUUCCUACCUCUUGACGAACUGUGAUGCCAUUAAUUUGGUGUCGCAAGGAAUCAGGACCGUUACCUUGAAAAAAUUAGAGUGUUUAAAGCAGGCUUACGCUUGAAUACAUUAGCAUGGAAUAAUGAAAUAGGACGUUUUGAACCUAUUUUGUUGGUUUCUAGGAUCGACGUAAUGAUUAAUAGGGAUAGUUGGGGGCAUUAGUAUUCAAUUGUCAGAGGUGAAAUUCUUGGAUUUAUUGAAGACUAACUACUGCGAAAGCAUUUGCCAAGGAUGUUUUCAUUAAUCUAAGAACGAAAGUUAGGGGAUCGAAGACGAUCAGAUACCGUCGUAGUCUUAACCAUAAACUAUGCCGACUAGGGAUCGGAUGAUGUUAAUUUUUAAU
rnacentral:rRNA from 1 species